UACGUAGGUGGCAAGCGUUAUCCGGAAUUACUGGGCGUAAAGCGCACGCAGGCGGUCUUUUAAGUUUGACGUGAAAGCUCCCGGCUUAACUGGGAGAGGUCGUUGAAUACUGGAAGACUUGAGGCAAUGAGAGGGGUGUAGAAUUCCCGGUGUAGUGGUGGAAUGCGUAGAUAUCGGGAGGAACAUCAGUGGCGAAGGCGGCUACCUGGCCCCAAUACGUGACACUCAGGUGC
rnacentral:rRNA from 1 species